UACUUUGAACUCAAAUUGUUCACUUGCAACACCAGAAGCUUUUCUCUGCCUGCUGUCCCUUUGCUGAUGGAAGAUGUAGUACAGGGAGACAUUGGGACUGAUGUUGAAUGCGCAUGAACUGCAACAUCAACAGGCUAACUCAGGAAGUUAGUCUGCAAACAGUGCCUGCCUUAUUGUACACCACUUCCAGGUUUUUGAAGGGAUGAGCUGACUGAGCCAUAGCAGAUCCCUAUCAACAUUGUCAUCUUUCUUUCCUGUAUUCAGAUCUGGGGGCUGGAGAGUCAAACUGAGGAUGCAUUGCCAAGGACCUAGAAUGCGCAGGGAUACAGACAAGUGAGAAAGAAGAGGACAUGCUGUAAAGGAAGGAACGAUUAACAUAAAAACAACACUGCUUCAUGUGGCACCUUUCUCUUAGGAAUGCAAAAUUUCUUAGCAAAUAUUUAUGAACAUUCAUUUAUCAUAAUAAUUCUCUCCAAGCUUGGCAAAUCUGGGGAAGCUUUUGCUCAAAAAAUAUCCUCCAAAUUCAGAGUUUGAAGGGCUGAUAUGGCAAGAGAUUUCUCUCAUCAAGAGAUGUGCCUUGUCUAACAAUUGCACAGAAGGUAUACAGAGUGUUGCAUUGAAGACAUCUUUUACCCAAAUUUGACAUCUUCGACUACCUUCAGAAUCAGUGGAUGCUUCCAGAAUAAAAAUCAUAUUGAGGCUAUCUUAGGAGUAGGUGAAGUUUGAGCCAGUAUGACAUGGGAUGUGACAGCAUUGUCCCAUUUGAGGACAGCAGAAUCUCAAAUAACUACACUGAAGGCUGAGUCUACAUGACACUUUGUCUUGAACAAACAGAUACCAGCCAGAAAUUCUACAGUGAUACAGUCUGAAGAUAAUGGUCUAGUGUCGUAUCCAAACACUACGUGUUGAUGAAUCACGGAAAAUUGGGCCUACUAGAAAAAAAAAAAUAAAAAAA